rnacentral:rRNA from 1 species
GACGAACGCUGGCGGCGUGCUUAACACAUGCAAGUCGAACGGUGAACCUCUUCGGAGGGGAUCAGUGGCGAACGGGUGAGUAACACGUGGGCAACCUGCCCCCGGCUCUGGGAUAACUCCAAGAAAUUGGGGCUAAUACCGGAUGUUCACCGCUUCCCGCAUGGGUGGUGGUGGAAAGGGUUUCCGGCUGGGGAUGGGCCCGCGGCCUAUCAGCUUGUUGGUGGGGUAGUGGCCUACCAAGGCGACGACGGGUAGCCGGCCUGAGAGGGUGACCGGCCACACUGGGACUGAGACACGGCCCAGACUCCUACGGGAGGCAGCAGUGGGGAAUAUUGCGCAAUGGGCGGAAGCCUGACGCAGCGACGCCGCGUGGGGGAUGACGGCCUUCGGGUUGGAAACCUCUUUCAGCAGGGACGAAGCGCAAGUGACGGUACCUGCAGAAGAAGCACCGGCCAACUACGUG